CGCAUCUCCACUGCAAUGCGCUUUGCUCCCCAUCUAUUACCUGGCCCCACAGGUGGGCACCCACAGCUGUAAUUCAUUGCGCCGUUCCUUGAAAUAUCUGGGGCUUGGUUGAAAGUGCAGAUACAUCUGUGCCUCUGCAGGAGCUUGUGCUUCUGAGGCUCUGUGGGGACAUGGGCCUGGCUGUCCCAUUUCCCACCCUGGUCCUGCUGGGAAGCAUCCUCCUGCUCUACCACUGCCUCUGGGCUCGUGGUGCAGUGCUGCUAGGGGGGAACAAACCAGCCCUGUCUGAUGGAUAGAGGUGACCCCCAAGGCUGUAGGGACAUGGCUGGGGCUGCUUUGCCCCCACUGAGUGAUGGAAGCUGCUGUCUUCUCCUCCUGUGCCUCCAGACACCUCCGGGCUGGCUGGCCUCCAGCAGAAAGGGGUUUUGUUGGAAAAUAACAGGGAGGUUUUGAAGCAGGGGCUUUUGGGAGGAGUAUCCACAUGCAAUUUGUCUGUUUGUUUUCUUAUUGUAAAACCAAAGACAUUUCAGUUUUCAGAAACUGAUAAUUAAACAUAAAAAAAUAUUUCCUUUACCAGAAGCCACGGCUUGAACGCUUUGGUCAGCCAGGUCCGCAGAGCGUGAAGAUCGGCAUCAUCGGGCUUCCUCCCCAGCACCCUCUUCUUCCUCUGCUCUCUGAAACGAGGGCUGCUGGCACCCUGGCUGUCCCUGGGAGGCCCCAGGCACUGGGCUGAAUGUGUUAACUUUGGCUUUUUACCACCACCCCUUUCCCCCCGCCAUCACUCCAGAUGCCUGCGCAUCUUGUUUACCCAGCAAAAUGUGCCGGUGGAGAAAAUCAACGGGGGCACUGUCACGUGGGCCAUGGUAAACAGCCAGCAGAUGCAUUAUGUUGAUUUUGUUCCGGAGCCCUUCCAGAAGGCACCAUCCUGCUGAUGGGCUGCGCGUGGGCACCACAUCCCCCUGCCAGUCCUGCCCAAGCAGCAUCCUUGGGUGCCAUUCGGCACCGAGCACCCCAGUGAUGCCAGCGAACCAUCCUGCCCUCCUGCGCCCCGUCCCCCAGGGACCCAGGUGGCUUUGUUUCCUUCAGGGCCGUGUCAGGACCAUGGGGAAUUUGGGAGAAGGCACAUGGCCAGCACUCUGUGGUGCCUGUACAGCCUGGCGUCAGGGGAUGUCUUUCCAGGAUCACAGACUUUGGGUGUCUAUCCUUGGGCUCUUGAUAAGGAGAGACUUGGCGGUGGAGUUCUUCA
rnacentral:lncRNA from 1 species